CGCGAGCUGGGUUUAGAACGUCGUGAGACAGUUCGGUCCCUAUCUGCCGUGGGCGUAGGAUACUUGAGAGGAGCUGUUCAUAGUACGAGAGGACCUGAAUGGACGUACCUCUGGUGUUCCGGUUGUUGCGCCAGCAGCAUAGCCGGGUAGCCAUGUACGGAACGGAUAACCGCUGAAAGCAUCUAAGCGGGAAGCCGGCCUCAAGAUUAGGUAUCCCGGACUUCGGUCCCUAAAGGCCCCUUCUAGACGAGGAGGUGAUAGGCCAGGUGUGGAAGUGCAGCAAUGCAUGGAGCUAACUGGUACUAAUCGGCCGUGCGGCUUUUCCUU
rnacentral:rRNA from 1 species